GAGUCAUUAGCUCAGCUGGUAGAGCACCGGACUUUUAAUCCGGGUGUCGGAGGUUCGAAUCCUCCAUGACUCACCA
rnacentral:tRNA from 1 species